rnacentral:rRNA from 1 species
AACGAACGCUGGCGGCAUGCCUAACACAUGCAAGUCGAACGAAACCUUCGGGUCUAUGGGCGCACGGGUGCUUAACGCCGGGGAACCUGCCCGUAGGUUAGGUAUAACUCCCCGAAAGGGGUGCUAAUGCCGGUUGAUCUCUUCCGACCAAAGAUUUAUCGCCAUUGGGUGGGGCCGGGUUGGAUUAGCUAGUUGGUAGGGUAAAAGCCUACCAAGGCGACGAUGCAUAGCUGGUCUGAGAGGAGGAUCCUCCACACUGGGACUGAGACACGGCCCAGACUCGUACGGGAGGCAGCAGUGGGGAAUAUUGGACAAGGGGCGAAAGCCUGAUCCAGCAAUGCCGCGUGAGUGAUGAAGGCGUUAGGGUUGUAAAGCUCUUUUACCCGAGAUGAUAAUGACAGUACCGGGAGAAUAAGCUCCGGCUAACUCCGUG